rnacentral:rRNA from 1 species
UACGGGGGGGGCAAGCGUUGUUCGGAAUUACUGGGCGUAAAGGGCUCGUAGGCGGCCAACUAAGUCAGACGUGAAAUCCCCAGGCUUAACCUGGGAACUGCGUCUGAUACUGGAUGGCUUGAAUUCGGGAGAGGGAUGCAGAAUUCCAGGUGUAGCGGUGAAAUGCGUAGAUAUCUGGAGGAAUACCGGUGGCGAAGGCGGCAUCCUGGACCGACAUUGACGCUGAGGCACGAAAGCUAGGGGAGCAAACAGG